GGGGCUGAAUUUUUUGGGGGUCUAUAAAAACAAAAUACUAAUCAUUUAAAAACCAUUCGUUAUUCUCCUCUGUUUUUUCUUCGUUACCCGUUUACAUUACUGCAAUUAUGCGUCCUGACGUUUUUAUUGGGCAUUCGUUUGAAUCCCUGAGCGCUGUUUGAUGGAAUUAAACUGGAUAUUUUGUAGUUAAACAGAUGGAACAUAAAAAAAAAUGAUGUUUCUAUCCGUGUCUUGAGGAAGAAUCGCUCAUAAUAUUGAAUAAUAAAUGGUUUGGAAUCCAUGCCAAGAAAUCCCAUUCUCUGAAUUUCCUUAAUUAGAAAAACAGGUAACUUUUGCAAAAACCACUAUUUUUGUAAUAAUCACUGUGAUUUUAACUCUUCGUGUUUUCUGGAACAUUUAUCUGGGUUAAAAAAAAAUAAUAAUAAUAAUUUGAAGCAUCUCUUUUCUACUGAUUUCUCUUAAUAUUUUAUGCCCGUCUCUGUCUUUUUUCCAAUGAUAAAAGAAAAUAAACAUUUUUAGCUUUUGAUACGGAACGUUUGAUUAUUCUAAGUCAGAACUAAAUUCCAAAGAGACGUCAGGAAAAUGUGAGGCUUUUUUUUUGUUUGUUUUUUUUGCACUUUUGGCUCAUAAUGCAACAAGGCUUUAUAAAUGGAGCAUUAGCUGUUCAUUCAGGAUU